CUUUUAGCAAACCAAGGAAGAAGGACUGGAUGUGCAUGAGUUGCAGGAGGCCUUAAGGGAAGCCAAAAGCUGGAGGUGAUAAAGCACAGAGAAAAGAGAGAGAACAUCAUCACAAUGAAGAAAGCCUGGUGCAGUAAAUCAAUGUGGUGCCAGGGAUGACUUGCGUAUAUACAACGUUUGCCAUGGAGUCCUGUGCUCUUUGCAGAGGUGAGAUUCAGGUUUGACUCUGAACUUCUCAGCAGCUGAAACCAAAGUAGACAAUGGCAUCAAUAACAAGAGCCACACAAUCAUUAGAAUAAAAAAAUCCCAGCUAUCAGGAGAAACAGAAACUUUCCAGGAACUUCUGUUCUUAUCACUCCCAGGAGGCCCUUGUGUGAUAUAAAAGGGACAAUACCUUCAAAAUCACUCCUGCAAUAAAAACAAUAGGUGGUUUCAA